rnacentral:rRNA from 1 species
UACGUAGGGUGCGAGCGUUAAUCGGAAUUACUGGGCGUAAAGUGUGCGCAGGCGGCCGAGCAAGUCGAGUGUGAAAGCCCCGAGCUUAACUUGGGAACUGCGCUCGAAACUACUUGGCUGGAGUGUGGCAGAGGAAGGUGGAAUUCCACGUGUAGCGGUGAAAUGCGCAGAUAUCAGGAGGAACACCGAUGGCGAAGGCAGCUUACUAGGCUGUAACUGACGCUGAGGCACGAAAGUGUGGGGAUCAAACAGG